CGGGUCUGCAGAAGGUCAGACUCAAGAUCAGCAGUCUAACGGAGAACUGGGUGAAGAGGAUUCGGUCCUUAACUGAAAGCUGUCCCAGUCUUCAGGAGAUCAGAUAUGAAUGCACAGAAAGUGGAGGCUUGUUAUUAGAGGAGGUCGAGAGGAUUCUUCAGAGCUCUCAGAUGGAUUCAGAUUGUAGGAUAAUUAUUACAGGAAUGAAGCACAGUAAAAAGCCAUGGAUGGGCGGACUGAAAUUAUGAUGGACACAUCCAGAUCAUCAUCAGCCUGUGAUGAGAAAGUGAAGGUCACUUUCUGCAGGAACUCUCUCACAAGACUAUUUACAAUAGAUGACAUUGAGACAGAAGAUACCAAUGAGGAUGAGCCUGAAAUGUAUAAAUCAUAGAGAAAAAAAUGAAAA